AACGUAGGCCGCAAGCGUUAUCCGGAAUUACUGGGCGUAAAGGGCGUGCAGGCGGUCUCUUAAGUUAGGCGUGAAAGCUCCGGGCUAAACCUGGAGAGGUCGUCUGAUCCUGGGGGACUAGAGAGUGGUAGAGGGGUGUGGAAUUCCGGGUGUAGUGGUGAAAUGCGUAGAUAUCCGGAGGAACACCAGUGGCGAAGGCGGCACCCUGGGCCUCAACUGACGCUAAGACGCGAAAGCACGGGUAGCGAACGGG
rnacentral:rRNA from 1 species